AGGACUACAGGGGUUUCUAAUCCUGUUUGCUCCCCACGCUUUCGCGCCUCAGCGUCAGUUGCGGUCCAGAUGGCCGCCUUCGCCACCGGUGUUCUUCCCAAUAUCUACGAAUUUCACCUCUACACUGGGAAUUCCACCAUCCUCUCCCGCACUCAAGCCAGCCCAGUCUCAAGCGCAAUUCCCGGGUUGAGCCCAGGCCUUUCACGCCUGACUUGAGCAGCCGCCUGCGCGCCCUUUACGCCCAGUAAUUCCGAACAACGCUAGCCCCCUCCGUAUUACCGAGGCUGCUGGCACC
rnacentral:misc_RNA from 1 species